rnacentral:rRNA from 1 species
GACGAACGCUGGCGGCGUGCUUAACACAUGCAAGUCGAACGGAAAGUCCCUGCUUUUGUGGGGUGCUCGAGUGGCGAACUGGUGAGUAACACUUGAGUAACCUGCCCUUCACUUUGGGAUAACUUCAUGAAACUUGGGCUCAUACCGGAUAGGAGCUCCUGCUUUAUGGUGGGGGUUGGAAAGUUUCGGCGGUUGGGGAUGGACUCGCGUCUUAUCAGCUUGUUGGUGGGGUAGUGGCUUACCAAGGCUUUGACGGGUAGCCGGCCUGAGAGGGUGACCGGCAACAGUGGGACUGAGAUACGGACAAGACUCAUACGGGAGGGAGAAGUGGGGAAUAUUGAAAAAUGGGCGGAAGCCUGAUGCAGCAACGCCGCGGGCGGGAUAACGGCCUUCGGGUUGGAAACCGAUUGCGCCUGUGACGAAGAGUGAGAGAAGGUAAUGGGUAAAGAAGCACCGGCUAAAUACGUG